rnacentral:piRNA from 1 species
UGAGUGGACCCAACGUGGUGCUGGAUU